CUUAAACAGAGGUGCGGCCUGGGCUUUCUUCUUCUUUCUUUUUUUUUUUUUUCAGAUGUGUAUGCAAUGUACUUAAAACUAUUUACCCUAAACUGGAAUUUGGAUGAGAAUUUCUGCAGUGAGACUUAUGAGCACCAACAGUCCCACUGGGUACAGUGCCUCAGAAGCAGUAUCCAAUGUCCAGUGUGACAGCAGAACAACUCUUGAUGUGCCAUUCAGGGGAACCACAAUCUAAAUGAGAGCCAGCUUGAGCUGGCUAAUUGCCUCUCCUUCCCAGGACCACACUGACUAAAAUGAGGGAGGGUCCUUUAUCAGAGGUGAAACUACAGAACAGUGCCAGGAUAGGCUGGAGACCUGUGUUAGAAGACCUGGGGACCAAGACGCCCAUCUCUCACCUGCAGUUCCUGGAGAGGAAGGACUACCCUAGUGCAUGAAGACCAGGGUUCCUCAGUAUUGCCUUCAUCUCAGACUCACCUUCCAAAUUAUAGCACAGGCUCAUUCUGGUCUGUCUUGCGGGAUGGGAUUGGGGUGACAACCCUGCAAAUCUGAGUGAGUUCCUUUGAAGGGGAGAGCUGGUGGAGCCAUGCAACCUGCAGCCACUAAACACAAGCGGCCCAAGGGGCUGGAAGGGGAAUCCUGUGAAUGAGCUCCCGCGCCCAGGGCCUAGGGACUUCUCUGUAACUUGACUUCUCCCUGCUGAAGAUCAACUUCCCCAGCUCCUGCUCUCUGUGCACCUCUCUCAGCCUACUGAGUGAUUAACCUGACCACAGACCUAUCUCAUUCAUGUCUCCAGUCUCAGUUCUAAUGGAGGCCUGUGAACACUGUAAGGAAGACAGAGAAAAGCCAAGGCAAUGUCAGUUAUCUCGACUCAAACAGGCCAACAAAUGGCAGGCCGGGAUGGAUCUGCCCUGAGUCACACAGGCCAAGACACAGUAGGCUAAAACCAGCACUGGGUACCAAUUCUAUACCCAAUUCUCUUCUCCUAGGAAUUCCUUCUCUUCCUUCUAACAACUGUUUUGGGUGAUGCUCCCACAUGUUGCCUGACUUCCAUGUAGCUCUUAAUUAAUUUCAAGUUGCAUUGCUAGUUGUUUCCAUAUCCACUUCUGUCACUUGGUCAUACAAUUUCCUGGAUGACAGGGACAUCUUUUUCAUCCUGGUUUCUCCCAAGGUACCAACUGUGCUUGGAUUACAUGGAGUAGGCAUUUGAGACGUGUUGGUUAAAGUGGUUACAAAUUCACCCUAACAUAAAUAUUUGGUGUCUACCUCCUAAUUCAAGUUUAACGUGCACAACAGUCUGCCGAGCAGCUACCACUCUUCUACUCUGUAGAUGAAGGACUGUGAGAUAUGCCAAGGUUAAGCCAGGUGUCCCACUCCCAUCGUCAGCAGCACAGAGUCUGAGCAGACUCUCCAGCUGCAGAGUGAGUCUUGUUAACCAGUAUCCGCACACACCGUCUCUCUGAGCCCUGGAACCACACGGGUAUGAAUGACAACAGCAUGUUCAUUUUUUCAGGGAAGAAAUAAUGAAAUCUCUUAAUCCUCCAGGAUUUUGCCCAUGCAGAUCCCUGUGCUUGGAAAGUUCUUCCUGCCCUUUCUACCUUAGGAAAUUCCAUGUUCCCUCAAGACCCUGCUCAAGAUGAACUCUUGAAAGUCUCUUAAGUUUCCUCCAGGUGGUUAGGGACCCUCUGCUGGGCUCUUACAUAUAUUGUCCUUUGCUCUGUCACUGCUUACAUGAUCUUAGAUGACCUGUGCAAGUUUUCUUCUCAAUCUCUUGCCUCAGAAUAUGAGAUCUCUGAGGGCAAGGGCUGCCUUUCAUGAUACUUGGCAUGGAAACAUUUAAUAAUUGUUGAUUGUAAGGAUUUAUUAAGCACCUAUUAAAUAUUCACCUGAUUUUAUUUAAUUCUUCCAAUCUCCUACAACUAGGUGCCAAAUUGUCCCAUUUUUUGGAUAAGUAAGCUAAGGUGUCAUAAGUCUCAGAUUCUACCUGAAUAAAAUAUCCUACCUCAGCUCAGUCUAAGGUCCCAGAGUCUUUCUGGCAUCCUUGUCCCAAAACACAGGUUGGAGCCAGUACCCUGGGCAGAGCAGGAUGUUCUCAUGAAGUUUGCCUGCAAGUGGGUCUCUUGGGUUCUUGUUCCUGGGACCUGAUCUGAGACCUGUGAAAAGAGUAGGUACAGUACCCAGGUCAUGGGCCAGUGGGACCUCUAAAGCUGCAACUCCUUCAUUUGCUCAUCUCAUUUCAUUUAUGUGUACUUCAGCUGAGCCCAAGGAAAUCAGUAUCACUAACCACAAAAGAACUUCACGUCCACUUAACUGAACAACUUGUAUGCAACAACCUCAGAAAGGCUUAAAAAAUGCAUAUGUAAUACAGCAGUGUCGAGUUGAAAUAUGAACUGUCAGAAACCUGAUUAAGCCUUAGCCUGUACUGUAUAUUCUAAAUCUCUAAAGAACACCUCUAUUCAAAGAAGAUAAACCAAUCACAACCAA